rnacentral:ncRNA from 2 species
AGGUGACCACUGGGGUGCCGGAUGAGGCCGGCUGAGAUAAAGGACCGUUGAAUCCUUUGACCCAUUGAACCUGAUCCGGUUAAUGCCGGCGUAGGAAUGUGGAAUGCGUAUAUAC